GGGCCUGUAGCUUAGUUGGUAGAGCAUCGGUUUUGCAUACCGAAGGUCACCGGUUCGACCCCGGUCAGGUCCA
rnacentral:tRNA from 2 species